rnacentral:rRNA from 1 species
GAUGAACGCUGGCGGCGUGCCUAAUACAUGCAAGUCGAGCGAACAGAUAAGGAGCUUGCUCCUUUGAAGUUAGCGGCGGACGGGUGAGUAACACGUGGGUAACCUACCUAUAAGACUGGGAUAACUUCGGGAAACCGGAGCUAAUACCGGAUAACAUUUAGAACCGCAUGGUUCUAAAGUGAAAGAUGGUUUUGCUAUCACUUAUAGAUGGACCCGCGCCGUAUUAGCUAGUUGGUAAGGUAACGGCUUACCAAGGCGACGAUACGGAGCCGACCUGGGAGGGUGACCGGCCACACUGGAACUGAGACACGGUCCAGACUCCUACGGGAGGCAGCAGUAGGGAAUCUUCCGCAAUGGGCGAAAGCCUGACGGAGCAACGCCGCGUGAGUGAUGAAGGGUUUCGGCUCGUAAAACUCUGUUAUUAGGGAAGAACAAAUGUGUAAGUAACUGUGCAUAUCUUGACGGUACCUAAUCAGAAAGCCACGGCUAACUACGUGCCAGCAGCCGCCGUAA